rnacentral:misc_RNA from 1 species
GAUGAAGAACGCAGCGAAAUGCGAUAAGUAAUGUGAAUUGCAGAAUUCAGUGAAUCAUCGAGUCUUUGAACGCACAUUGCGCCCCCUGGUAUUCCGGGGGGCAUGCCUGUCCGAGCGUCAUUGCCGCCCUCAAGCACGGCUUGUGUGUUGGGCCCCCGCCCCCCGGCUUCGGGGGGCGGGCCCGAAAGGCAGCGGCGGCACCGCGUCCGGUCCUCGAUCGUAUGGGGCUUCGUCACCCGCUCUGUAGGCCCGGCCGGCGCCCGCCGGCGACCCCAAUCAAUCUUUCCAGGUUGACCUCGGAUCAGGUAGGGAUACCCGCUGAACUUAAGCAUAUCAAUAAGCGGAGGA